CUCGUAGGCGGUUCGUCGCGUCCGGUGUGAAAGUCCAUCGCUUAACGGUGGAUCUGCGCCGGGUACGGGCGGGCUGGAGUGCUGUAGGGGAGACUGGAAUUCCCGGUGUAACGGUGGAAUGUGUAGAUAUCGGGAAGAACACCAAUGGCGAAGGCAGGUCUCUGGGCCGUUACUGACGCUGAGGAGCGAAAGCGUGGGGAGCGAACA
rnacentral:rRNA from 1 species